rnacentral:rRNA from 1 species
GCUUUCGUGCAUGAGCGUCAGUGCAGGCCCAGGGGAUUGCCUUCGCCAUCGGUGUUCCUCCGCAUAUCUACGCAUUUCACUGCUACACGCGGAAUUCCAUCCCCCUCUGCCGCACUCUAGCCUUGCAGUCACAAUGGCAGUUCCCAGGUUGAGCCCGGGGAUUUCACCACUGUCUUACAAAACCGCCUGCGCACGCUUUACGCCCAGUAAUUCCGAUUAACGCUUGCACCCUACGUAUUACCGCGGCUGCUGGCACGUAGUUAGCCGGUGCUUAUUCUUACGGUACCGUCAUGACCCGGGGAUAUUAGCCCCAGGCUUUUCGUUCCGUACAAAAGCAGUUUACAACCCGAGGGCCUUCAUCCUGCACGCGGCAUUGCUGGAUCAGGCUUUCGCCCAUUGUCCAAAAUUCCCCACUGCUGCCUCCCGUAGGAGUCUGGGCCGUGUCUCAGUCCCAGUGUGGCUGGUCGUCCUCUCAGACCAGCUACAGAUCGCAGGCUUGGUAAGCCUUUACCCCACCAACUACCUAAUCUGCCAUCAGCCGCUCUAGUAGCACAAGGCCCGAAGGUCCCCUGCUUUCAUCCGUAGAUCUCAUGCGGUAUUAGCUACUCUUUCGAGUAGUUAUCCCCCACUACUAGGCACGUUCCGAUGUAUUACUCACCCGUUCGCCACUCGUCAGCAUCCGAAGACCUGUUACCGUUCGACUUGCAUGUGUAAAGCAUGCCGCCAGCGUUCAAU